rfam:Triticum aestivum genome assembly, contig: Triticum_aestivum_CS42_TGACv1_scaffold_228944_3B
GAAAUACUCCCUCCGUUCGGAAUUACUUGUUGCAGAAAUGGAUGUAUCUAGACAUAUUUUAGUUCUACAUAUAUCCAUUUCCGAGACAAGUAAUUCCGAACGGAGGGAGUAAUAU